GUAACCUUCAAUCAUUAUAUAUCAUUAAGUUUUUGUUACAACGAGGUUCACAACAAACAUCAGUACAAAAUAAGCUAUCUGAAAACAAAAAUAUUUCUAACUGAUUACAACAAUCAAAUUGAUUUUCUGUAACCUUCAAUCAUUAUAUAUCAUUAAGUUUUUGUUACAACGAGGUUCACAACAAACAUCAGUACAAAAUAAGCUAUCUGAAAACAAAAAUAUUUCUAACUGAUUACAACAAUCAAAUUGAUGCCAUCUCGACCGAAC
rnacentral:lncRNA from 1 species